UGAACGAUCAACGCCGCGUGAUUGAGGACGGCUUUCGGGUUGUUAAGCUCUGUUCUCCGGGAAGAACGGCUCAAGGCCGAACAGGCCUUGAGUGUGGCGGUACCGGACAAUAAAGGCCCGGCUAACUACUUGCCACCGCCCGCGGUAAU
rnacentral:rRNA from 1 species